rnacentral:rRNA from 1 species
UACGUAGGGUGCAAGCGUUAAUCGGAAUUACUGGGCGUAAAGCGUGCGCAGGCGGUUGUGUAAGACAGAUGUGAAAUCCCCGGGCUCAACCUGGGAACUGCAUUUGUGACUGCACAGCUGGAGUGCGGCAGAGGGGGAUGGAAUUCCGUGUGUAGCAGUGAAAUGCGUAGAUAUGCGGAGGAACACCGAUGGCGAAGGCAAUCCCCUGGGCCUGCACUGACGCUCAUGCACGAAAGCGUGGGGAGCAAACAGG